rnacentral:misc_RNA from 1 species
GAGCUCGUGAAAGCAAGAACAAACACUCAAUCGCUGUCAACCAAAAAUCGUCAGACGCCGAGAUCAGCCACUCUGUUUCGAACUUCAGGGCGAUUGCGUCGGCUUCUGAUUCAGGAUUUUUGAUAUUCUUGGACGAGUAUGGAUUUGGUCUCUGGUUACAAGGGAGUGGUUGGGCUUGUUUUCGGCAAUGAGAAUUCUGCAUCCAAUGAAGAUAGCUAUGUUGAACGUGUUUUGGAUCGAAUUAGCAAUGGUCAGCUUGCAGACGACAGGAGAGCUGCUAUGGUGGAGCUUCAGUCAGUUGUAGCAGAAAGUCGAUCCGCUCAGCUAGCUUUUGGUGCAAUGGGAUUUCCUGUGCUCA